rnacentral:rRNA from 1 species
GCCUACGGGGCGCAGCAGCCGCGGUAAUACGUAGGGGGCGAGCGUUAUCCGGAUUCAUUGGGCGUAAAGCGCGCGUAGGCGGCCUGUUAGGUCGGGGGCCAAAUACCGGGGCUCAACCCCGGUCCGCCCCCGAUACCGGCAGGCUUGAGUCUGGUAGGGGAAGGCGGAAUUCCCAGUGUAGCGGUGGAAUGCGCAGAUAUUGGGAAGAACACCGGCGGCGAAGGCGGCCUUCUGGGCCACGACUGACGCUGAGGCGCGAAAGCUAGGGGAGCGAACAGGAUUAGAAACCCUAGUAGUCCCCAAGA